CGAACGCGGGCGGCAGGCUUAACACAUGCAAGUCGAGCGGGCGAGAGCAAUACGUCAGCUUCAGACGGGUGAGUAACGCGUGGGAACGUACCUUUUGGUUCGGAACAACACAGGGAAACUUGUGCUAAUACCGGAUAAGCCCUUACGGGGAAAGAUUUAUCGCCGAAAGAUCGGCCCGCGUCUGAUUAGCUAGUUGGUGAGGUAACGGCUCACCAAGGCGACGAUCAGUAGCUGGUCUGAGAGGAUGAUCAGCCACAUUGGGACUGAGACACGGCCCAAACUCCUACGGGAGGCAGCAGUGGGGAAUAUUGGACAAUGGGGGCAACCCUGAUCCAGCCAUGCCGCGUGAGUGAUGAAGGCCCUAGGGUUGUAAAGCUCUUUUGUGCGGGAAGAUAAUGACGGUACCGCAAGAAUAAGCCCCGGCUAACUUCGUGCCAGCAGCCGCGGUAAUACGAAGGGGGCUAGCGUUGCUCGGAAUCACUGGGCGUAAAGGGUGCGUAGGCGGAUCUUUAAGUCAGAGGUGAAAGCCUGGAGCUCAACUCCAGAACUGCCUUUGAUACUGGGGAUCUUGAGUUCGGGAGAGGUGAGUGGAACUGCGAGUGUAGAGGUGAAAUUCGUAGAUAUUCGCAAGAACACCAGUGGCGAAGGCGGCUCACUGGCCCGAUACUGACGCUGAGGCACGAAAGCGUGGGGAGCAAACAGGAUUAGAUACCCUGGUAGUCCACGCCGUAAA
rnacentral:rRNA from 1 species